rnacentral:rRNA from 1 species
UGCAAGUCGAACGGAAAGGCCUAAGCUUGCUUGGGUACUCGAGUGGCGAACGGGUGAGUAACACGUGAGUGAUCUGCCCUCAACUUCGGGAUAAGCCUGGGAAACUGGGUCUAAUACUGGAUAGGGCCAUCCUUUAGUGUGUGAUGGUGGAAAGUUUUUUCGGUUGGGGAUGAGCUCGCGGCCUAUCAGCUUGUUGGUGGGGUAAUGGCCUACCAAGGCGUCGACGGGUAGCCGGCCUGAGAGGGUGUACGGCCACAUUGGGACUGAGACACGGCCCAGACUCC